UUUGUCUUGGGUAACAACCAAAAUGUGUGUUGGGGGGACUGGAGUUGGGAAACACUUCAAUCUUGACAAAAGGCAAUAUUUUACUCCCAAUUAAGAAAACAAAGUAUGGCAGUACAAGACCAAUACACAACCAGCACUCUGGAUCAGCCGAGUCCUUCUGAAAUGCUCCACAGAUAUACACAUCCAAGCUGGCCUAAACCGGAUUUGACUUCCAUUUUUCUGGUGGCUGUGAAAUGGAUACUCAAAAAAACAGUUACGGCCGACUCAGAAGUUACGUGACAAGGUGACAACAAUGCAUGCCAUGGAUGUUUCCCAGUUGCUUUGAAUGUUGAAUAUCACAGGGUUUACUAACCACCGGUCCUGGCAACCCAUCAUUAUGCACACCUGGCAACCCUCAUUACGCACACCUGCAUCCCAUCAUGAGGCACACCUGCACCCCAUCAAGAGGCACACCUGGACUCAAUCACUUCCCUGACUACUCCCCCUUUAUCUAGCACUCCCUAGCAUCACUCUUCGGGUAGUAUUGGUUAUGUUUCCUUGUCAGACGGUUCUCUUGUUUUGUAUCUUUCUACGUUCAUUAUUAUUAAAACUCAUUAACUGCACCUGC